GAUGAACGCUGGCGGCGUGCCUAAUACAUGCAAGUCGAGCGAACGGACGAUAAUCUUGCUUCUCUGAUGUUAGCGGCGGACGGGUGAGUAACACGUGGAUAACCUACCUAUAAGACUUGGAUAACUUCGAGAAACCGUAACUAAUACCGGAUAAUAUUUUUAGCCUCAUGGUUGAAAAGUUAAAGACGUGCUUGCUGUCACUUAUAGAUGUAUCCGCGCUGCAUUAGCUAUUUGGUAAGGUAACGGCUUACCAAGGCAACGAUGCAUAGCCGACCUGAGAGGGUGAUCGGCCACACUGGAACUGAGACACGGUACAGACUCCUACGGGAGGCAGAAGUAGGGAAUCUUCCGAAAAGGGCGAAAGACUGCAGGAGCAACGCAGCGUGAGUGAUGAAGGUCUUCGGAUCGUAAAACUCUGUUAUUAGGGAAGAACAUAUGUGUAAGUAACUGUGCACAUCUUGACGGUACCUAAUCAGAAAGCCACGGCUAACUACGUG
rnacentral:rRNA from 1 species